CAUCUCGUUUCGUCAAGUAAUCAGCAAGCAACGAAUGUUGCUUUUGACAUUCCACCACAUCGCAGCAAUGAUACACCCAAGACUGAUGAGCAUGGGGGUAGCAAGCAAACUUCUAGCGGUACUAAAGAAGCAAACCCACACGAAUAAUGUGGCCAUGUAAGCUGGAGAUAGGGGCAUCCACACACAAAUCUUAAAAGUUGCACCGUAUUCGAUAGAUUAAUUGAACCACAAAAAUGAAAAGAGUAAGGCAUGCACGUAGUUCUAGAU
rnacentral:lncRNA from 1 species